AUUGGAUUGAGAACAACGUACAACUCUUAUCGAUAAGCCAUUGGAGGGCAAGUCUGGUGCCAGCAGCCGCGGUAAUUCCAGCUCCAAUAGCGUAUAUUAACGUUGUUGCAGUUAAAAAGCUCGUAGUUGAAGUGAGGGAGUGUGUGGGUAUGAGAGCUAGUCUCAAGUACUUACAACCUCCCCCCUCCAAUCGGUGUAGUGGGGUAUUCAGUUAUUCUACUACUCCUUUGGUCGUUUACUGUGAGAAAAUUAGAGUGUUCAAAGCGGGCGUUUGUUUGAAUAGAUUAGCAUGGAAUAAUGAUUGAAGGCUUUCGUGUUCGAUUUGAUUGGUUUGUUCAUGGAAGCAAGGUUAAAAGGAACAGUUGGGGGUAUUCAUAUUCACUAGUUAGAGGUGAAAUUCUCGGAUUUAUGGAAGAUGAAC
rnacentral:rRNA from 1 species